rnacentral:rRNA from 1 species
AACGAACGCUGGCGGCAGGCCUAACACAUGCAAGUCGAACGCCCGUAGCAAUACGGGAGUGGCAGACGGGUGAGUAACGCGUGGGAACGUGCCCUUCGGUUCGGAAUAACUCAGGGAAACUUGAGCUAAUACCGGAUACGUCCGUAAGGAGAAAGAUUUAUCGCCGAAGGAUCGGCCCGCGUCGGAUUAGCUAGUUGGUGAGGUAACGGCCCACCAAGGCGACGAUCCGUAGCUGGUCUGAGAGGANGAUCAGCCACACUGGGACUGAGACACGGCCCAGACUCCUACGGGAGGCAGCAGUGGGGAAUAUUGGACAAUGGGCGAAAGCCUGAUCCAGCCAUGCCGCGUGAGUGAAGAAGGCCUUAGGGUUGUAAAGCUCUUUCAGC